rnacentral:rRNA from 1 species
UUCCUACGGGAGGCAGCAGUGGGGAAUAUUGCACAAUGGGCGCAAGCCUGAUGCAGCAACGCCGCGUGAGGGACGAAGGCCUUCGGGUUGUAAACCUCUUUUAGUAGGGAAGAAGCGACUGGGUUUUCCUGGGAGUGACGGUACCUGCAGAAAAAGCACCGGCUAACUACGUGCCAGCAGCCGCGGUAAUACGUAGGGUGCAAGCGUUGUCCGGAAUUAUUAGGCGUAAAGAGCUCGUAGGCGGUUUGUCGCGUCUGCUGUGAAAACCCGAGGCUCAACCUCGGGCCUGCAGUGGGUACGGGCAGACUAGAGUGCGGUAGGGGAGAUUGGAAUUCCUGGUGUAGCGGUGGAAUGCGCAGAUAUUAGGAGGAACACCAAUGGCGAAGGCAGAUCUCUGGGCCGUAACUGACGCUGAGGAGCGAAAGCAUGGGGAGCGAACAGGAUUAGAUACCCUGGUAGUCCAUGCCGUAAACGUUGGGAACUAGAUGUGGGGACCAUUCCACGGUCUCCGUGUCGCAGCUAACGCAUUAAGUUCCCCGCCUGGGGAGUACGGCCGCAAGGCUAAAACUCAAAGGAAUUGACGGGGGCCCGCACAAGCGGCGGAGCAUGCGGAUUAAUUCGAUGCAACGCGAAGAACCUUACCAAGGCUUGACAUAUACCGGAAACGGCUGGAAACAGUCGCCCCGCAAGGUCGGUAUACAGGUGGUGCAUGGUUGUCGUCAGCUCGUGUCGUGAGAUGUUGGGUUAAGUCCCGCAACGAGCGCAACCCUCGUCCUAUGUUGCCAGCACGUAAUGGUGGGAACUCAUGGGAUACUGCCGGGGUCAACUCGGAGGAAGGUGGGGAUGACGUCAAAUCAUCAUGCCCCUUAUGUCUUGGGCUUCACGCAUGCUACAAUGGCCGGUACAAAGGGCUGCGAUACCGCAAGGUGGAGCGAAUCCCAAAAAGCCGGUCUCAGUUCGGAUUGAGGUCUGCAACUCGACCUCAUGAAGUCGGAGUCGCUAGUAAUCGCAGAUCAGCAACGCUGCGGUGAAUACGUUCCCGGGCCUUGUACACAC